rnacentral:rRNA from 1 species
AAUUGGUCAAUGGGCGCGAGCCUGAACCAGCCAAGCAGCGUGAAGGAUGACGGCCCUAUGGGUUGUAAACUUCUUUUAUAUGGGAAUANNGUUUGGCAUGUAUACCAUUUUGUAUGUACCAUAUGAAUAAGGAUCGGCUAACUCCGUGCCAGCAGCCGCGGUAAUACGGAGGAUCCGAGCGUUAUCCGGAUUUAUUGGGUUUAAAGGGAGCGUAGGUGGACAGUUAAGUCAGUUGUAAAAGUUUGCGGCUCAACCGUAAAAUUGCAGUUGAUACUGGCUGUCUUGAGUACAGUAGAGGUGGGCGGAAUUCGUGGUGUAGCGGUGAAAUGCUUAGAUAUCACGAAGAGCUCCGAUUGCGAAGGCAGCUCACUGGACUGCAACUGACACUGAUGCUCGAGAGUGUGGGUAUCAAACA